UCAAGACAGCUGCCAUAUUCUGUCAACCUCUGUAGAGAGGAGAGAAAUAACAUAAACAUAUGUUGGGCGUUUUGAACGAGCUUGGUUGCAACUUCUCAACUGAAAUUCCAAGUGGGCCUUAAAAAUGCCAAACAAGAGCAAAAGAUGUCCAAACCAGAGCUCCGCAAUUAGCUGAAUUUGAAUCCUCUAAAAAUUCAAAUGAUUUUCAUCUUUUUGAAUUCGAAUAUAUAUAUAUAGCUACGGCAUAAAAUAGAAAAUUGAGAUCCUUUCUUCAAGAGACCCGAUUUCCUGUCUUUGGUGAAGUUACAGCUAAGUGUAGAGAAAUGAGAAAGCCAAAUGAAGGAAGACGUGGCAGCUCCAAAGACUGGAAAUUUGUCUCUUGAAGAAAGCAUUCAAAUUGCAAAUCUGAAGUUGGAGAGGAUUCAAAUUCAACUAAUGAUAGAACUCUGGUUUCAACGUCUUUUGCUCCAAGGGCCAUUGUUUUUAAAGUCAGGUGGAAGGUCCAACUGGGCAUCUGUAAAAAUGGUGACAAAAAUGAUCUGAGCAUCGAAUGCAACACUCACACCAACGAUUGCGAAAACCCUAACAUAUGUUUGUAUACUCUCAUUAAAUUUUCUCUUCUUCACUUUGAGAUUCCUUUUACUUCCACCUCUCACUUAUCUCACCACAAAUUCCCUACAUCUACAUCUCCAUACAUUCUCUAGCGUAUUCUUUGCUGCUUCUCAGGUCAAAUUCCAAUUAGGCCUUAAAAGUGUUUAAGAAAUGGAAGAGUAUUGCAAGACUCCAUCGCAGAGAGCAGAACAGUCUUCUUUAUCACUGCUGUGGACAACAAAAUUGGGCUCACAUAAGGCUCAUGUGAAUUCUGAUAUAAUGAUUUCAGAUUUGCAAAGUUGUUUGAUGCUUGCUUAAGAGAAUAGCCCUUUGAAAGAGGAAGAAGGGGUAUGGAUUAGGGUAAAUAAGACGUCCAAAUGUCUUUCAAAUUCAUCAAAUGCAUGCGCUAUGCUUCCCACUUUGUAAUGUGUUUGGCUUUCAUAUCUUUGCAAUGUAUUGGAUGAAGAGGAUAUUAAGUUUUUUAAUGAAGGAUUAUAAGUUGUUGCAUCCUUCAACUCAAAUCUUAAUUUUUCUACAUUCUUAUUA